UACGAAGGGUGCAAACGUUGCUCGGAAUCAUUGGGCGUAAAGCGCACGUAGGCGGCUUCAAAAGUCGGAUGUGAAAUCCCGUGGCUCAACCAUGGACGUGCAUUCGAAACUGCGAAGCUUGAGUAUGGAAGAGGGUCGCGGAAUUCCCGGUGUAGAGGUGAAAUUCGUAGAUAUCAGGAGGAACACCGGUGGCGAAGGCGGGUCUCUGGGCCGAUACUGACGCUGAGGAGCGAAAGCGUGGGGAGCGAACAGG
rnacentral:rRNA from 1 species